rnacentral:rRNA from 1 species
CUUGGUCAUUUAGAGGAAGUAAAAGUCGUAACAAGGUCUCCGUAGGUGAACCUGCGGAGGGAUCAUUAUUGAAUGGGGCCUUUGGGUCGCCUUCUUCCAAACCUGUGGAAAUGAGAAGUGCUUUGGCGCCUCAGGCGCCAAGUCCAUGCAUUUAGCCUGGUGUCUGAUCAGAAACAGAUUUUAAAACUUUCAACAAAGGAUCUCUUGGCUCUCGUAUCGAUGAAGAACGCAGCAAAGCGCGAAAUGUAAUGUGAAUUGCAGAACAUUGUGAAUCAUCGAAUCUUUGAACGCACAUUGCGCCUCCCGUUAAUGGGAGGCAUGCCUGUCUGAGCGUCAUUUAAAACCAUGACCCUUUGGGUCGUAUUGGGACUCGCCUUCUGGCGUCUCCUCAAAGUCAUCGUGUCUAAAAGCGGACGAGAUCCAUUAGGACAGAACGUUUGAGGACCCUAAACUCUCUGACUUGACCUCAGAUCAGGUAGGACUACCGCCUGAACUUNAAGCAUAUCAAUAAGGCGAGGAACAGAAMCCAACAGGGAUUCCCCUAGUAGUGGCGAAUGAAACGGGAAAAGCUCAAGUUUGAAAUCUGGUAUCAACCAGAGUUGUAAGCUGAAGAGGCGUCGACCGACGAUGGUCCAGGCUCAAUGAUCCUUGGAACAGGCAGUCGUGGAGGGUGAAAAUCCCGUCUAUGGCUUGUGUGCCGUCGCCCUUGUGUCGUGCCCUCGAAGAGUCGGGUUGUUUGGGAAUGCAGCUCUAAAUGGGUGGUAAAUUUCAUCUAAAGCUAAAUAUUGGCGAGAGACCGAUAGCAAACAAGUAGAGUGAUCGAAAGAUGAUAAGUAUCUUGAAAAGGAAGUGAAACAGUACGUGAAAUUGUUGAAAGGGAAGCGUUUGGCAUCAGCCCAUGGCCCUCGUCAAUCGUGGAGCUUCUGUUCCAUGAUAUUGUCGAGCGUCGGGCCAGCGUCGGCUCUGUUAGCUGGAGAAAGGCCUUGGGGACGUGACAUCCUUCGGGGUGUGUUAUAACCCUUGGCGUCAUACAGUGGAUGGGGUCGAGGUCUGCGGUCUAACCAAGGACGCUGGCGUAAUGGUUCCAAGCGACCCGUCUUGAAACACGGACC